rnacentral:tRNA from 1 species
CGGGGUGUGGCGCAGUUGGUAGCGCACCUGCUUUGGGAGCAGGGGGUCGCAGGUUCGAGUCUUGUCACCCCGA